rnacentral:rRNA from 3 species
UUUAAGGUCUAACCUGCCCAAUGAGGAUUUAAAUGGCCGCAGUAUUUUGACUGUGCAAAGGUAGCAUAAUUAUUAGUUUUUUAAUUGAAAGCUUGUAUGAAGGGUUGGACGAGAUAAAAUCUGUCUUUAUUUAAAUUAAAGUAUAAUUUAACUUUUAAGUCAAAAGGCUUAAAUGUUUAUAAAAGACGAGAAGACCCUAUAGAUCUUUAUUUAGUUAAGAUUUUAAUAAUUUAGGAUUAUUUUAAUUUGGAGUCUUAAUUGAAUUUUAUUGGGGUAAUAUAAAGAUUAAAUGAAUUCUUUUUAUUUAUGACAUUAAUUUAUGAAUAUAUGAUCCAUUAAUAUUGAUUAUAAGAUUAAGUUACCUUAGGGAUAACAGCGUAAUUUUUUUGGAGAGCUCAUAUCGAUAAGAAAGUUUGCGACCUCGAUGUUGGAUUAAAAAUUAGCUUGGGUGCAGAAGCUCAAGAUUUUGGUCUGUUCGACCAUUAAAUUUUUACAUGAUCUGAGUUCAGACCGGCGUAAGCCAGGUCGGUUUCUAUCUUUAUUCAGAUAAAAUAUUUUAGUACGAAAGGACCAAGUAUUUAAUAUAAUUAUAUUUAUUUUUU